UGUUGGAAACGGCAACUAAUACCGUAUACGCCCUACGGGGGAAAAAUUUAUUGCUAUUAGAUGAGCCUAUAUUAGAUUAGCUAGUUGGUGGAGUAAUAGCCUACCAAGGCAAUGAUCUAUAGCUGAUCUGAGAGGAUGAUCAGCCACACUGGAACUGAGAUACGGUCCAGACUCCUACGGGAGGCAGCAGUGGGGAAUAUUGGACAAUGGGCGAAAGCYUGAUCCAGCCAUGCCGCAUGAGUGAAGAAGGCCUUUGGGUUGUAAAGCUCUUUUAGUGAGGAAGAUAAUGACGGUACUCACAGAAGAAGUCCUGGCUAACUCCGUGCCAGCAGCC
rnacentral:rRNA from 1 species